GAUUAUUUGCUGCGGCUUUGGA
rnacentral:miRNA from 1 species